AUCCACUAAGACCAUCGCCCUGCUUCUCAACAACAUCAAUUGCCUGUCCUUUGCAAUGGGACAUGCCAACUUCACUGAGCAUUGAUGUUUCACUGUCACUCAGAGCAAAUGUGACAUCUGAAGGUGUCAGUUCAGCUGCCCUUGGAGGUGACCCAGUGGAAGCCUCUCACACCAUGAGACUGAAGCCAUUCCUGUGUGUAAACAGCAGGAGUACAUGUAUGCUUAUUUUGCAUGACAUCACCUAUAAAUUGAUGCUAGAGAACUGCACAAUAGAACUACCUACACACACACACACACACACACACACACACACACACACACAGAAUUCUCACAGUUAGUAAGUUUAUGACCCCUCCCCCUCCUGGGUCUCAUUCAAAGCUCUGCACCCAUGCACUCUCAGGAUUGGACAUCCCUACUCUAGGUGUUUUCACACACACACACACACACACACACACACACACACACACACACACGUAUAUGUAAGCCAAGGCUGCUUCCAAGAGGUGGACUUGUGAUGGCGAAUCUAGGUGGUGGUCAACUUGAGUACAUCCGGAAUGAACUAAAACCCAAGUGGCUGGGCACACCUGUGAGGAAUUUUUCUCAACUGGAUCAUUUGGGGCGGGAAAACCAACCCAAUAUAUAAGAAAUGUACCACGCUGUGGACAUGGUUGCACCCGAGGAUGGAGAUAUAUGUGUACAUAGCACUGUGCAGCAGCUGGGACUAACAGAAGGGGCCAUCCUCUGCCCAUGGGGAGCAGCCAGUCUCAGAAGGAAGCAAGCACAUAGGUUCAAGCUAGUGAUGGCUGGGCCGGGCCCAGGAUGAGCAGCUGACCCAGUGUGAGGGCACAGAGAUGUUCGCCCCAGUCAUGGGACAUGGAGAUGUUGCUAGAUUUGGAGCAAAGUUACAUGAUCUGAACAAAUUGUUGGGGAAGCUUUGCCAUCCCAGCGACCUUUUGAGAUCACACCCAGUCUUAGAAGCUGGACCUGGCCCAGGCUGUGGAGAUUAACUUGCCCUGGUGCUCAGCCGGGGAGGGGGUGUUACCCGGAAGAGCUCCGAGGUUAACUCUGAGUCCAGCUGAGUCCACUGAUGAGAACGUUCCUUGCAGAGCAGAGUUAACAGCUCUUCUGAAAAAUGAACUCUCUGGCCCCCUGAAAUGAAAACUACCUUCACACCUAAGAGCCUGGCAGCCAGGCCUGAAUCACACCCGUACCCCUCGGCUACUGUAGCCUCUGGCAAGUGCAGUGUGUUUGGGGCUUUCCCAGUAUCAAAUGGUGGAUAAAACGGGAGCGGUCCCUCAGAGAAUCGGCCUUGUAUGUCCUGGGACAGAAAUAACUGUUCCUUGUGUCAACAAGAAAGCUUUGUCUGUGUGUAUGUUUCCUUCUCCCAGGGAACAUUUUGUUCUUGCUGCUGGGUAAAAGGUGGCAACGUUCACAUAGAAAUACAGCAGGAAGUAUUUAAGUGAGAUAAAAGGAAAGAAAAAAGAGGGACUGCUUGGCCAAACGAUUAGGUACGGGAUUAGGAUCUCAGGGGAAUUAUGGAAUCUGACGUUAACUCCUGAGCCAUCUUAUUGAAUAACUUAAGGGUAGUUAUUGAUGCAUGUAUUAUUAUUAUUAAUUUUUAUUUUUUAAUAUUCAGGCUUGUGUUUUGAGAUUCAGAGAAAAUGGGAGUGCCUUGCGAUUGGGAGACCUGAGGCAGUUUCAUGGAGCUGCCCUGGCUCAGAGUGGAAAGAGGCUGGUCUGGCCGAGGGACAAGCAGGGUGGAGGAGGUACGCUGCUCUGUGGAUGGGAGCAGGCUGUGCCAGGGCAGGGUGUGGAAAGCUGCGAAGGCUUGGCUGGGGAAUUUGGAGUUUACAGACAACCAGAAGUGGACGUGGACCCGAGCUUCUGGGCUUCAGUGGCCACAUGCUUUUAGAAGAAAUUGGCUGCUUAGUCCUUGCUUUGGUACGUCUCAACAUCUAGGGACGUCACAAUGGUGGGUGCUUGCUAACAUCCAGACUUCCAGCCUUGCGUCCUGAAGCUCUCACUUGGAAGUCCCAGACAAGGUUUCUCUGUGAAGCAGUCCUGGCUGUUACACUAAUUCUUAACUAGGUCUUAACAUCACUAGUCUGCCUGCUCUCCCAGGAAAGGUAUCCAUCCGGCCUUGCAACAUUUCCUCACUUCCAUGGUCUCAGUGGCUGUCUCCAGCUGCCAGUGCGACAUCCUGACACAGAGUCAGGAAGAGAAACCCAGAGUGAACUUUGAGAACCAUUAUCAGCCAGCAGUUAUUCCCAAGCCAGGGAUGGGAUAGAGGUGGUGAACUUUCUACAAUAAAGAUCGAGCUGCUGAAUCAUGAAUU